GUAAGGAAUAUUGCGCAAUGGGCGAAAGCCUGACGCAGCGACGCCGCGUGGGGGAUGAAGGUCUUCGGAUUGUAAACCCCUUUUGGGAGGGAAAAUGGGACGAGCAAUCGUCCGGAUGGUACCUCCAGAAAAAGCCACGGCUAACUUCGUGCCAGCAGCCGCGGUAAUACGAAGGUGGCAAGCGUUGUUCGGAUUUACUGGGCGUACAGGGAGCGUAGGCGGUUUGGUAAGCCCUCCGUGAAAUCUUCGGGCUCAACCCGGAAAGUUCAGAGGGGACUGCCAGGCUAGAGGACGGGAGAGGAGCGCGGAAUUCCCGGUGUAGCGGUGAAAUGCGUAGAGAUCGGGAGGAAGGCCGGUGGCGAAGGCGGCGCUCUGGAACGUUUCUGACGCUGAGGCUCGAAAGCGUGGGGAGCAAACAGGAUUAGAAACCCGGGUAGUCC
rnacentral:rRNA from 1 species